CAGCAGUGGACAAGCCUUGAGGACAGCGAGCCCUCAACUGGGCCUGGCACCACAGUGGGCAGUGACCCGCCGGGUCGUUCCGUCUACCCCGAGCGAGCUGGGUCCUGAUCCUGCAGCUCCUGGAGGGACAGGGGUCAUAGGUGAAGUACACCUGGCAGGCCUCGAUCUCCAGAGCGUCCGGGAGGUGGAAGAAGAAAUAGCCCUGAUUGGUGAAGCAACUGGUCAGCGAGUGGCCGCUGGUCUCGGCUGAGGACGAGGAGGGCACCUUCUCCUGCUGUAGCAGGAGCAACUGUGUGGCCUUGGCGUCCCUGUCCAGCACCUCCAGCGGGGAGAUCUCGGGGGCCGGCGUGUUGGGGCUGAAGGACGACGAGGGGAAGGGAGAGGAGAGCCACUUCUGCUAGGAGAAAGAGCAGCGGGGAGGUGAGUGGGACGCCUCCUCCAGACUCUCAGCCACAACUCCUCUAACUACCAGCUACGCAGGGCGGCCACCUCCAGGAAGGCCUCCCUGACUGCCCGCCCGCCAACUGGCUUGGGGAACGCUCUGGGUCAGCCCAGGGAGUGUGCUUGCUGUAGGCGCCCGGGGGACGCGUUGUCUCCGCGCGCGACUGUCUCUGGGGCACCUGCUGUGAAUCAGCCUGGCGCUGAUCUAGGCACCGCACCGGGCACAGGGCAAAAGCCUCCGUGUGUCUGGUGGGGGCUGGCACCGGUGUGAGAAUCAACCAACCCGUGUUGGAAGCGGAAAGGGCCCUGGAGCACAUCUCGUUCACUUCACAGAUGCACGGAGAGGGGACGUGCCCCGGGGCCGAUCACACAGCCAGUGGCCCCGGGCGCCGUGGAAAAAAAAAAAAAAACUCUCUGGCGGGGACCUGAUGGCCCCGCAAUUCUCCUCUCCCUCCCAGCGCCGUGGAGCCCCCACCUCCCGCGCCCUCCAUCCACGGAGAGAAGAAAGUGCCCGCCUGAGCCCUUCCCACUUGGCUCUGGGAUCCGGAGGGCCCUGGCAAGAGCAGGGAGAACCACGUUCCAGUCCGGGCCCCGGCCCCCUCGCUAGCUGUGCGACCCCGGGGGCGGGUCACUGCACCUCUCUGAGCCUCAAUUCCACAACAGCGAGGAAACGGAGCACAGAGAAGUUCUCUAACUUACCAAACAUCACACAGCCAAGAAGGAGCGGAGACUUAGAACCCAGUAAGUCUGGCUCAGACGGGAGGUGCCAUUCAGCCUGAGAAGGCUGGUGCCAGAGCUGGGGAAAGGGGCCCACCCCCACCCCGGAGGCUACUCCCUUACUUAUUUUGUCUCCUUUCGCAAAGCGCGAACCCACUCACACCUCUGCCCGCUCUCUGGCCAGCCCAAGCCGGCCGUGCCUGCUUCUGGCCUCCACCUCCAGAGUCCUACCUGGAAAUCUCCUCCAUGCACUGACUUCAGCUGGGAGAAGAAUUCUGAGGGAUCUGGGAUGUGACAUUUCAGAACUUUCUUCAGCCUGAACAGGAGAGAGGGAGGGAGGGAAGGUGGAUGAGAAGGGAAGGGGGCCAUGGUGUCCGGCCAGCCCCCCACGGCCCUGAAGGUAGGGUACCGAACCCCUCCACAUUCAUUCAUUUGAUCAGUAUCAAGGGAAUGCCCAGUAAGGGAGGGGACACAAGAAUGGCCAACAGAGAAGGCCCCGGAUCUUAAGAAGAGACAGACCCGAACCAAGUGUGCGACAUUAUCAUGCAUUCUAUGCAAACAGAAAGCAGCGGACUGUGAAAGAGAAAA